UACGUAGGGUGCAAGCGUUGUCCGGAAUUAUUGGGCGUAAAGAGCUCGUAGGCGGUUUGUCGCGUCUGCUGUGAAAACCCGAGGCUCAACCUCGGGCCUGCAGUGGGUACGGGCAAACUAGAGUGCGGUAGGGGAGAUUGGAAUUCCUGGUGUAGCGGUGGAAUGCGCAGAUAUCAGGAGGAACACCGAUGGCGAAGGCAGAAUCUCUGGGCCGUAACUGACGCUGAGGAGCGAAAGCAUGGGGAGCGAACAGG
rnacentral:rRNA from 1 species